AUUGAACGCUGGCGGCAGGCCUAACACAUGCAAGUCGAGCGGAGCGGCGGACGGGUGAGUAUUACCUAUGAAUCUGCCUGGUAGUGCGGGAUAACGUCCGUAAGCGGGCGCUGAUACCGCAUACUGUCAGAUAAGCCUAUAUCGGAUUAGAUAGUUGGUGUGGUAAAGGCCUACCAAGGCGACGAUCCGUAACUGGUCUGAGAGGAUGAUCAGUCACACUGGAACUGAGACACGGUCCAGACUCCGACGGGAGGCAGCAGUGGGGAAUAUUGGACAAGGGGCGAAAGCCUGAUCCAGCCAUGCCGCGUGUGUGAAGAAGGUCUUCGGAUUGUAAAGCACUUCAAGUUGGGAGGCGUUACCAACAGAAUAAGCACCGGCUAACUUCGUGCCAGCAGCCGCGGUAAUUC
rnacentral:rRNA from 1 species